rnacentral:lncRNA from 1 species
AGGUGGGGGUCGUGCUGAUUACCGUGGUGCUGGUGGUGGUCGUCAGCGUUGACUGGGGAAGCGUAGAGGCGGUAGUGGGAGAUGCUGGAGUAGGUGUCGCCGCAGUGGACGUUUCGACCGGAAUGGACGUUGUGGAGGACGUUGUGGUCAUUUCUGCAGUGGUCGUGGGUCUGCUUUUACUGCUGGUGGGUGAGGUGGGCGCUGUGGAUGUGCUGAGGAUGGUCGUGCCCGGUGUCGGAGGGACACUGGUCUUGAUCACAACCGUGGUGCCAGCACUGGUUGGCGUUGUCGGCUCGGGUAGUGUAGAGGAAGGGGUGGGUGUGAUGGUGGUGGUGCCUUUUGUUUCAGGGGGAGAGGUCUUGAUGGUGCUGGCACUGCUGUUGGGUGUGAUGGGCUCCGUUGGUGUGGAAAUGAUGGUGGUUGUGGGCUCUGUCCCAGGGGGAGAGGUCUUGAUGGUGCUGGCACUGCUGUUGGGUGUGAUGGGCUCUGUUGGUGUGGAAAUGAUGGUGGUUGUGGGCACUGUCACGGGGGUGGAGGUCUUGGCGCUGCUGGCACUGCUUGGGGCUGUGAAUGUGGUUGUGCUCUGUGCCAGGGAGGUGGGGGUCGUGCUGAUUACCGUGGUGCUGGUGGUGGUCGUCAGCGUUGACUGGGGAAGCGUAGAGGCGGUAGUGGGAGAUGCUGGAGUAGGUGUCGCCGCAGUGGACGUUUCGACCGGAAUGGACGUUGUGGAGGACGUUGUGGUCAUUUCUGCAGUGGUCGUGGGUCUGCUUUUACUGCUGGUGGGUGAGGUGGGCGCUGUGGAUGUGCUGAGGAUGGUCGUGCCCGGUGUCGCAGGGACACUGGUCUUGAUCACAACCGUGGUGCCAGCACUGGUUGGCGUUGUCGGCUCAGGGUAGUGUAGAGGAAGGGGUGGGUGUGAUGGUGGUGCUGCCUUUUGUUUCAGGGGGAGAGGUCUUUAUGGUGAUGGCACUGCUGGUAGGUGUGGUGAUGGUGGUGCUCGUGCCUUCUGUCAGAGGGACGGAGGUCUUGAUGGUGCUGGCACUGCUGUUGGGUGUGAUGGGCUGUGUUGGUGUGUUGAUGAUAGUGGUUGUGCCUAUUGUGACAGAGGGAUAUGUCUUGAUGGUGGUUGCUCUACUGCUAGUUGUGGUUGGUUCUUUUGGUGUGGUUGUGCUUUCUGAUAUAUUUGUGACUUUCGUUGUUAAUGUUGUUAUGUCCGAUUUUUGAGGUCCUGUUUUUCGUGUAGUUGUUGGUUGUGUUUUUGUUUGUAUUGUAAAUGGUGUUUCUAUAGCAGUAGUUGUUUGUAUUUCUGAACAUGGUUUAUAACUACAGCAUAGUAUUCUGAUAUUGUAGUUAUAGCAUUGCUUAGAUUUUUGGUCUUUGUUAUUGCAUAUCAAUCCUCUGGUUUGACUGCAUUCUACUAUUUGAUCAAGAUAUUUUAGUUCUUUAUCUGGGUGUUCUUCUGCUCUGCAUUGAACUCCACUUGGGUUUUUACAAACACUGUAUCCAUUGUUUUUUAGAUUUUCGUAAUUUUCAUAGUCUCCACUGUCCUCUCCGGUUUUAGGCUGUGUGCUAUCAUACCAUUCUGACCAUUCACAUACAUUCUUCACACAUACAGUUGUCACUGGUGUUGUGGUUGUGAUUUCUGUAAUUAAAAAGA